rnacentral:rRNA from 1 species
UACGAAUGGGGCAAGCGUUGUUCGGAAUCACUGGGCGUAAAGCGUACGUAGGCGGCUAUUCAAGUCAGAAGUGAAAGCCUGGGGCUCAACCCCAGAACUGCUUUUGAAACUGGAUGGCUAGAGUCCCGGAGAGGUUGGCGGAAUUCCGAGUGUAGAGGUGAAAUUCGCAGAUAUUCGGAGGAACACCAGUGGCGUAGGCGGCCAACUGGACGGGAACUGACGCUGAGGUACGAAAGCGUGGGGAGCAAAC